AUUGAACGCUGGCGGCAUGCCUUACACAUGCAAGUCGAACGGUAACGCGGGGCAACCUGGCGACGAGUGGCGAACGGGUGAGUAAUGUAUCGGAACGUGCCCAGUUGUGGGGGAUAACUGCUCGAAAGAGCAGCUAAUACCGCAUACGACCUGAGGGUGAAAGCGGGGGAUCGCAAGACCUCGCGCAGUUGGAGCGGCCGAUAUCAGAUUAGGUAGUUGGUGGGGUAAAGGCUCACCAAGCCAACGAUCUGUAGCUGGUCUGAGAGGACGACCAGCCACACUGGGACUGAGAAACGGCCCAGACUCCUACGGGAGGCAGCAGUGGGGAAUUUUGGACAAUGGACGCAAGUCUGAUCCAGCCAUGCCGCGUGCGGGAAGAAGGCCUUCGGGUUGUAAACCGCUUUUGUCAGGGAAGAAACGCUCUGGGUUAAUACCUCGGGGUAAUGACGGUACCUGAAGAAUAAGCACCGGCUAACUACGUGCCAGCAGCCGCAGUAAAAC
rnacentral:rRNA from 1 species